CGUCAUUCUCGAGCUGUCUGUUGAGUGGAGAGGACGUGAGCUAUUCGUCAGUGCUGGCCUAAUUUUUUUGAUUUGCAAUCUGACUACAGACAUGGAUCUUUUCUCUUCCUUGCUAAGUAUUUUUGUUUUUACAGCGGUACUUAAGGAACCUACCACAAAUUCUGAGAAUUUCACACCGGUCGUUCCUGGAUAUGAGCUGCCUGAUCGUAAAUUUGAGAAUGCUGCCAGCUUCAUCCAAGAAUCGAAAACAUCACUAACAGUACAUAAUUCCGUAGUAUCUGCUGACAUGGGCCA